rnacentral:rRNA from 1 species
GCUACCCAACUACCCAACUACCCUGGUUUCCCGAAAAAAAAUGAGCUACCCUGGUUUGGUUAAGAAUCUAACCCUCUUUGUGUCAGAAAAGAUCAGAAAAGCCUUUGUAGCGGUGAUAUGCCUUCGCAUUUUUUGAUAUCUGGCUUUCCCAAAAAAAAAGGCUUGGGAUAAGCUAAGCCUUAAACAGAGAUUAAAAUUUUAAAAAUAUAUUUAUUUUAAGCUUAAUAUUAGCAAAAAACAAGUCUGUAACAAGAUAAAAUACAUUUUUUUAUAAUUAUAAUAUAUUAACUCUAAUAUAUGGGGAAAUACAUGUAAACAGUGCAUGUAACCACAAUGGUAGCAUUAGUAUUCACCCCAAAGCCCCAUCAGGGAAAAUAAAAAAAAAGGUAAGGAACUCGGCAAAAAGAGCAACGACUGUUUAACAAAAACAUAGCCUCAUGAAGUUAUGUGAGGUGGAGCCUGCCCGGUGAAAUUUAAACGGCCGCUUAGGUGCUAAGGUAGCAUAAUAAUUUGUCUUUUCAUUGAAGACUAGAAUGAAUGGCUUAACGAAGCUCAGCUGUCUCCCCUUUUAUUAUAAAAAUUGAUAAAAAAGUGAAAGAUCUUUUUUUAUUGUGGUGGACGAGAAGACCCUAUAGAGUUUCAGUAGCAACUUUUUACCUAAAAGUGGUACUUUUAUUGGGGCAAUAAUAGAACAACAAAAAUCUAACUUAUACCUUCCUAAAAUAGAAAACACAAACUACCUUAGGGAUAACAGCGUAAUCUCCCCAGAGAGAACUAAUCGAAGGGGAGGUUUGCGACCUCGAUGUUGGACUAAGGUAACAAAUAUGUGCAGAAGCAUAUUAAGUAAGCCUGUUCGGCUUAUAAAACCUUACAUGAUCUGAGUUCAGGUCGGCGCAAGCUAGUCCGGUUUCUAUCCCCACACUAGUAAAACACACACUUCAUAUUACGAAAGGAACUAAAG